UGAUGAAGAACCUUAGUAAGUAAAGGGGUAUAAGGUGUGAUUUGGCCUAUAAAUAUGCAAAAAAAUCAGGCGAGGGAUCACUUUCUGUUUUUUUCUUUUUUCCCUGCUCCUAUUCUCUCUCUCGUCUCUCGUGUUCUCUCUCUCUCGACUGCUCUCUCUCUCAUCUUCCCCACCCAAAGGCUUGCUACCUCUCCAAAAUUUCUUGAAGACCCACACGUACUUUGUCAUUCUCUACCAUCCUUCGCUCUCGGAUCGCAUAGGAAGAGCUUGGUGGAGGCGUAUUUCGCAAUUGGAGGCUAGGGCUUAGAGUUUGAGCUUGAAUCUUGGCUUUGAUCUUGAGGUGCGACCUCAGGAUUGUAGCUUGCAUUUGUGGAGUGCUUGAAUAUGGAAAAACCUUUUUGAAAGCUAAUAUUGUAGGAUUACUUAGUCACCUUGUAAUUACUUUUGAAAGAUAUAUAUGUAAUUUAGUCCAUAAUUAUUUUGACUUGGGAACAACUGUAAAUACUUAACUUAUUUGUGCCGAGGACUUAUGUGAUUGAGGCCGGUGGGCCACCGUUAUUGUCUUUUGAAAAUUAUUGUUUUGGAAC